GAUGAACGCUGGCGGCGUGCCUAAUACAUGCCAGUCGAGCGAACGGACGAGAAGCUUGCUUCUCUGAUGUUAGCGGCGGACGGGUGAGUAACACGUGGAUAACCUACCUAUAAGACUGGGAUAACUUCGGGAAACCGUAGCUAAUACCGGAUAAUAUUUUGAACCGCAUGGUUCAAAAGUGAAAGACGGUCUUGCUGUCACUUAUAGAUGGAUCCGCGCUGCAUUAGCUAGUUGGUAAGGUAACGGCUUACCAAGGCAACGAUGCAUAGCCGACCUGAGAGAGUGAUCGGCCACACUGGAACUGAGACACGGUCCAGACUCCUACGGGAGGCAGCAGUAGGGAAUCUUCCGCAAUGGGCGAAAGCCUGACGGAGCAACGCCGCGUGAGUGAUGAAGGUCUUCGGAUCGUAAAACUCUGUUAUUAGGGAAGAACAUAUGUGUAAGUAACUGUGCACAUCUUGACGGUACCUAAUCAGAAAGCCACGGCUAACUACGUG
rnacentral:rRNA from 1 species